rnacentral:rRNA from 1 species
UUGGAGGGAGUCUGGUGCCAGCAGCCGCGGUAAUUCCAGCUCCAAUAGCGUAUAUUAAAGUUGUUGCAGUUAAAAAGCUCGUAGUUGAAUUUCGGGAUUAGUACGUCGGUCGUGCCUUAGGUACGUACUGGUAUUACUGGUUCCUACCUUCUGACGAACCAUCAUGUCAUUAAUUUGGUGUGGUGGGGAAUCAGGACUGUUACUUUGAAAAAAUUAGAGUGUUUAAAGCAGGCUCGCGCUUGAAUACAUUAGCAUGGAAUAAUGAAAUAGGACGUUG